ACACCCCUACUAAUGUGUUCGGAUGAUAUUCUUUAUCGCUGUUAAGUGUAGCGUAACAUCCGAGUGGUCGAUUUGACCUUUAACGAGACCAGCCUCGAGACCGUGCGAGAUCUGCACCAGUUCCUGUAAGAUUUAGACAGGAAGUAGAUGUGUGUUUUGGGAUUUAUGCAUUUAAUGUCUCUACAGGAAUGCUAUUUCACAUCAGUAUUCUGAUGCUGUAUGCCAGUCGCCCAUCAUCAUGAUCAUACCCCUAAUAUAUUGAAAGAUAGUAGUGGUACAGAGAUUUGGAAAAUUUAUAAUCUACAGGAUGAUGUCAGGAUCACAAACAAGUGAUUUUGACAAAGAAGGUGUAAAACCGUUGUGGAUGUGGAUAUUGAAACUCCUUAAAACUCUUGAAGGAUGAGGAAAAGGAACCAUUGAAAUGGAACAUGUUGGACUCAAGGUUAUCACGAUCAUGCAUUUAUAAAAGAUGACAGCAUAUCAGCACUGCCUUAAGAUUGGAGUUGAGACCUUGUAUUUUUUACAUGGAAAAUAAAGAACAGUUGCCGAAUGAAACAGAUGCUCGCAGAAGCAAAUGUAAUGAGGCCAGAAUGAUGGUGAUCAUUUUUGAAUUAUUUCAUUCUCUGGUUGAAAUGAUACUGAUCCAAUUUGGUUGACAAUGAAUACUAAGUAUUUUGUUGUAUAUAAGUAUAAUGGCUUAUUUCAAAACUGUAUAAAGCUUGAUAUAUCAUGUAACGAUAUUAUGUAGGAAUCAAUAUUUUUUG